rnacentral:rRNA from 1 species
UUGAUCUCAAAUCAGGUAGGACUACCCGCUGAACUUAAGCAUAUCAAUAAGCGGAGGAAAAGAAACUAACAAGGAUUCCCCUAGUAACUGCGAGUGAAGCGGGAAGAGCUCAAAUUUAAAAUCUGGCGUGCCUAUGGUCGUCCGAGUUGUAGUCUGG